CUCGAUUAUUUGUCUCAAACUCGCCUGCAUGCUCUAUAGCAAAUCUUCCAAUCUCUAUCAUCUUAAUCCAACUCUCACCCAUUUGCUGGCAAAUUUUUUUUUUUUCCUGUAUAUGGCCAAUUUUAUUCCUCCCCCAACUGCCGAAAUCCUCAAUACUCUCCUUGCACUGCACUAUUUGCCCCACCACCGAAAGGUCACCUUAGCUUGCCUUCUUUGCCGAUUCCUCCAUCUUUUUUAGUGCCACCCCACGUUUCACUGCCAUUCCCCACUUUUUCAACUGCCGUUGUCUCAUCAUAGUUGACACUAGCGAACUUCGCUUAUACAACCUUUGAUUUUGUUCAAAUGCCGUCCACCCAAUGAUUAAUUUGGCCUACAUGCCUUUAUUCCGAUUGCAAAGGUUAAGCUGAACCCUUCUAUUUACUUACGUAGCGCUCAAACCUCCUACCAAGGUUUCUAAUAGUUCUCUGAGCUUGUCGCUGCUUUCCUUUUUUGCCUUCCCGCGCUCUACCACGCCAAUCC